rnacentral:lncRNA from 1 species
CACCCCCAGGGUUGAGCUGACUCCACUGAGCUGGGGUUGGAGAACCCCAGCUCUCACAUCUGAAUCUACAACAAGCCUCAAGUGCCUGCCCUCAACCUCACUAGAAGCUAUUCAGAGGGCAUUCGGCUCUCCAUAACAGCAAGUUAGAAGCAAGCAUUCUCCAUACUAACAACAGCCAUACUCUGCCUCAUGGCACAUGCCUUUUGAAAUGCAACACUGCAAAUCUCCAAAUCACAUGAACAGCAUUUACACCUGUACCUAACCAUCAGCUGUGAGCUGGUAGGACCACCUCUCGUCUUUAGAAAAUAAUUUCUUUUUGCAAAUUAUAGGCUGAUCCCGGCACUCUGAAACAUGUAAAUAUAACACUGUAUUCAUCUCCACUGAGCAUUUAGCAUCUGAAGCCUGUGGUAGCCAGCUGGUCUCAAAGUCAUCUGGGAUACAUUUAUUUUGAUUAAAUUGAUCAGAUUUCUAUUUACAGGAUAGAAUUUUUUUGCCAUUACUGAAUACAGCUGUGUUUACAGGGAUUUGUAGAAGAAGAAAACAAAACCCCACAAUCGGUCCUAGCAAAGCACAGAGCAUUCAGAACUGGAAGGAGUUAAAACAGAGGGGGCUUGCUUUCACAGUAAAAAGAAAAUUCUGCAUGCAGCUGCUUUGGCCAUGCUGUCUCACUAGUCAGGAAAUGGGUGUUGAACUGGAGCUGAAAACACAAGCUGCAAUCAAGCCCGAUCCAGCAAAGUGACAGACUUCCUGUGUAAAAUGGUCAGAAACCUUUUUUCAUGUCUCUACAUGCAUGCACAUGCAUUUAAAUCCAUGCUGCGAGGCUGCGAUUUUCUCUGGGGACACUGGUACAGUCACCUAGCCCAUCAGUUCCUUCGUCGACAGCGCCGGGGACAUCCAGACUACAAUUUACAGUUCCUCUAUCCAUGUGCUGGGUUAUAAAUUAUGCCAUCCUCCCUAGAAUGAGAAUGCACAGCAAGCGGCAGACAAUCACCCGGCAUUCGGCAUCUCUUUCUUUUCACGCGCUCCCUCGCUCCGCCUUUCUCCAGCUCUGCCUUCUCAGGCAGAUACAUCAGAUACCUUGUUUAUCCAUCUUCAGCUCCACUCUGAGGGCGCAGACGCACGAUUCCGGGAUCGGGUGCACCACGGCGAAGCCCAGGCGGGAGACGGCAGGAGCAGCUCAGGUAACCAGGGGAAGCUUGCGUGCCCACGGAGAUGCAGCCGUGGAGCUGUGAGGAAAGACG